CCGUCUUGAAACACGGACCAAGGAGUCUAGCAUGCGCGCGAGUCAUUGGGAAUUUAUAAACCCAGAGGCGCAAUGAAAGUGAACAGCGUCGACCUCGCGUCGGCCGCAGGGAAGAUGACGGUCGGCACGCCCGUCCGUUCGCAUUCCCGGGGCGUUUCGAGAAAUGCCUCCGUUGCGAUUAUCGAGACGCACCGAGAGCGCGCACGCUGGGACCCGAAAGAUGGUGAACUAUGCCUGGUCAGGUCGAAGUCAGGGGAA
rnacentral:rRNA from 1 species